GAUUGAACGCUGGCGGCAUGCCUUACACAUGCAAGUCGAACGGCAGCACGGGUGCUUGCACCUGGUGGCGAGUGGCGAACGGGUGAGUAAUACAUCGGAACAUGUCCUGUAGUGGGGGAUAGCCCGGCGAAAGCCGGAUUAAUACCGCAUACGAUCUACGGAUGAAAGCGGGGGACCUUCGGGCCUCGCGCUAUAGGGUUGGCCGAUGGCUGAUUAGCUAGUUGGUGGGGUAAAGGCCUACCAAGGCGACGAUCAGUAGCUGGUCUGAGAGGACGACCAGCCACACUGGGACUGAGACACGGCCCAGACUCCUACGGGAGGCAGCAGUGGGGAAUUUUGGACAAUGGGCGAAAGCCUGAUCCAGCAAUGCCGCGUGUGUGAAGAAGGCCUUCGGGUUGUAAAGCACUUUUGUCCGGAAAGAAAUCCUUGGCUCUAAUACAGUCGGGGGAUGACGGUACCGGAAGAAUAAGCACCGGCUAACUACGUGCCAGCAGCCGCGGUAAUACGUAGGGUGCGAGCGUUAAUCGGAAUUACUGGGCGUAAAGCGUGCGCAGGCGGUUUGCUAAGACCGAUGUGAAAUCCCCGGGCUCAACCUGGGAACUGCAUUGGUGACUGGCAGGCUAGAGUAUGGCAGAGGGGGGUAGAAUUCCACGUGUAGCAGUGAAAUGCGUAGAGAUGUGGAGGAAUACCGAUGGCGAAGGCAGCCCCCUGGGCCAAUACUGACGCUCAUGCACGAAAGCGUGGGGGAGCAAACAGGAUUAGAUACCCUGGUAGUCCACGCCCUAAACGAUGUCAACUAGUUGUUGGGGAUUCAUUUCCUUAGUAACGUAGCUAACGCGUGAAGUUGACCGCCUGGGGAGUACGGUCGCAAGAUUAAAACUCAAAGGAAUUGACGGGGACCCGCACAAGCGGUGGAUGAUGUGGAUUAAUUCGAUGCAACGCGAAAAACCUUACCUACCCUUGACAUGGUCGGAAUCCCGCUGAGAGGUGGGAGUGCUCGAAAGAGAACCGGCGCACAGGUGCUGCAUGGCUGUCGUCAGCUCGUGUCGUGAGAUGUUGGGUUAAGUCCCGCAACGAGCGCAACCCUUGUCCUUAGUUGCUACGCAAGAGCACUCUAAGGAGACUGCCGGUGACAAACCGGAGGAAGGUGGGGAUGACGUCAAGUCCUCAUGGCCCUUAUGGGUAGGGCUUCACACGUCAUACAAUGGUCGGAACAGAGGGUUGCCAACCCGCGAGGGGGAGCUAAUCCCAGAAAACCGAUCGUAGUCCGGAUUGCACUCUGCAACUCGAGUGCAUGAAGCUGGAAUCGCUAGUAAUCGCGGAUCAGCAUGCCGCGGUGAAUACGUUCCCGGGUCUUGUACUCACCG
rnacentral:rRNA from 1 species